UAGGAGACAAAAAAAAAUCUAAGAAUCUCUAGGUCAACUAAGAGCUGACCUCAGAAUUUUUUAUUCAAAAGUUAAUUAUAAAUUUACUAAGAUUAGGUCAGUGUUGUGCAAUAUUUAUGAUUUUUCUGAAUUCUCAACACAUGAACAUCGUUCAAGAUUGAAAAAGUGUAGAAGAACAUAAAACGCACAAUGCCUGUCAUGAAGAGGGAGCUCAGCAAGUAACAACUCCGUCUGGACACCUUUUCCCCCACAGCCGAAGGAAAAGCGAAGUAGAUUUGGGAAGCUACAAUCAAGGUCAUUUGGGAAGUAGGACCCAGUGUAUUAGCAUUACCUAUGGGUGUCCACAUAGAGAUUUAUAGACACAGGAAAGGCUAGAUAAUGAGAAUGCCCCGUAAAGAGGCACCACGUUUCACCAGGGAGAAAUGCAUCCAAGUAACCUCUCAAAUGUUAAGAAAUAUGCCUACUUAAUUGUAUGGUGCAUUUUCCAUGGUAUUUGCUUUAUUCAUUUCAUGUGCAUUUUGAUUAAAAAUUUUACAUUUUAUUAUCUCUUAUGUUUUUCAAUAAAUACAAACCAGGACUGA